GAUGAACGCUAGCGGCAGGCCUAAUACAUGCAAGUCGGACGGGAUUCAGGAGCUUGCUUCUGAUGAGAGUGGCGCACGGGUGCGUAACACGUAUGUAACCUACCUUUAUCAGGGGGAUAGCCUCUCGAAAGAGAGAUUACGCCCGCAUAAAAUCACAGCACAGCAUUGUGUAAUGAUCAAAUAUUUAUAGGAUACAGAUGGGCAUGCGGAACAUUAGCUAGAUGGCGGGGUGACGGCCCACCAUGGCGACGAUGUUUAGGGGAUCUGAGAGGAUGGCCCCCCACGCUGGUACUGAGGCACGGACCAGACGCGUAGGGAGGGGAGGAGAAAGGAGUAUAAGGCGAGGGACGCAAGCCCAAACCAGCCGUGCCGCGUGCAGGAAGACGGGCCUACGGAUUGUAAACUGCUUUGAUACGAAAAGAAACGCAGAUACGUGGAUCUUGCUGAAUGUACUGUAAGAAUAAGCAUCGGCUAACUCCGUG
rnacentral:rRNA from 1 species